rnacentral:rRNA from 1 species
GACAGAGGAGGCGAACGUUAUCCGAAGUUAUUGGGCGUAAAGGGUACGUAGGCGGCUGGUCAAGUCUGGGGUUAAAGACCACAGCUUAACUGUGGGGGGGCCAUGGAAACUGACCGGCUGGAGUGGGGCAGGGGUUGCGGGAAUUCCCGGUGUAGCGGUGAAAUGCGUAGAUAUCGGGAAGAACACCUGAGGCGAAAGCGCGCAACUGGGGCCUAACUGACGCUGAGGUACGAAAGUUUGGGGAGCGAAUGGU